CCUGGUUGAUCUUGCCAGUAGUCAUAUGCUUGUCUCAAAGAUUAAGCCAUGCAAGUGAAAGUAUAUGCAUAUUUUAUAUGUAGAAACUGCGAACGGCUCAUUAAAACAGUUAUAAUCUACUUGACAUUUUUUCUAUAAGGAUAACUACGGAAAAGCUGUAGCUAAUACUUGCUUUAGCACUCUUGAUUCAUUUCUUGAGUGUGUACUUGUUAAGCCUUUUAAGAAAAAAGUUAAUAACUUAAGGAAUUAUAACAAAGAAGCGACACGUAAUGGAUCCGUCCAUUUUUAGUGUGUAUCAAUCGAGUUUCUGACCUAUCAGCUUUUGAUGUUAGGGUAUUGGCCUAACAUGGCUAUGACGGGUAACGGGGAAUUAGAGUUCGAUUCCGGAGAGGGAGCCUGAGAAAUAGCUACCACAUCUAAGGAAGGCAGCAGGCGCGUAAAUUACCCAAUUCUAAAGAAGAGAGGUAGUGACAAGAAAUAACAAUACAAGGCCAAUCUGGCUUUGUAAUUGGAAUGAUGGGAAUUUAAAUCCUUCCCAUAAUUCAAUUGGAGGGCAAGUCUGGUGCCAGCAGCCGCGGUAAUUCCAGCUCCAAUAGCGUAUAUUAAAAUUGUUGCAGUUAAAACGCUCGUAGUUGAAUUUCAAAGAAUCGAUAUUUUAAGCAACGCUUCUAGCUUAAUCCACAUAACUGAUACUUCGUAUCGACUUUGUGCGCAUUUUGCUAUUAUGUGUUCUUUUAAUUAAAAUGAUUCUUUUUAAGGACUUUCUUUGCUUCGGCUUGGAAGUCCUUGUUACUUUGAGUAAAUUAGAGUGUUCAAAGCAAACAGAUAUAGCAUUGCGCGUUUGAAUACUACAGCAUGGAAUAACAAAAUUGAACAAGUCAGAAUUUUGUUCUUUUUUCUUAUUUUGGCUUAGUUACGAUUAAUAGGAGUAGCUUGGGGGCAUUUGUAUUCAGAUGUCAGAGGUGAAAUUCUUAGAUUUUCUGGAGACAAACAACUGCGAAAGCAUUUGCCUAAAAUACUUCCAUUAAUCAAGAACGAAAGUUAAGGGAGUGAAGACGAUCAGAUACCGUCGUAAUCUUAACCAUAAACUAUGCCGACUAGGCUUUGGAUGAAAGAUUUUAAAAUAAGAAUUUUCUCUUUGGAGUUUAUUCUUAGAUUGCUUCCUUCAGUGCCUUAUGAGAAAUCAAAGUCUUUGGGUUCUGGGGCGAGUAUUCGCGCAAGCGAGAAAGUUAAAAGAAUUGACGGAAGGGCACCACCAGGCGUGGAGCUUGCGGCUUAAUUUGACUCAACACGGGAAAACUCACUAGUUUAAGACAAGAGUAGGAUUGACAGAUUAAUAGCUCUUUCUUGAUUUCUUGGAUGGUGAUGCAUGGCCGUUUUUAGUUCGUGAAUAUGAUUUGUCUGGUUAAUUCCGAUAACGAACGAGAUCUUAACCUGCUAAUUAGCGGCAAAUACGAUAUAUUCUUACGUGGGACUGAAUUCGGUUGAUUUGCUUACUUCGAAGAAAAUAUUGGGAUACGUAACAGUUUCCCUUUCCCUUUUCUACUUAGUUCGCUUUUCAUACUGUUUCUUUUUCGCGUAAGAAUGUAUUUGCUUGAUUGUAAAGCUUCUUAGAGGAACGAUGUGUGUCUAACACAAGGAAGUUUAAGGCAACAACAGGUCUGUGAUGUCCUUAGAUGAACUAGGCUGCACGCGUGCUACACUGAUAUGUAUAACGAGUUAUUAAAAUUACGAUUCAGCUUGCUGUUUCGUAUUUUUCCUCCACUGAAAAGUGUAGGUAAUCUUUAUCAGUACAUAUCGUGAUGGGGAUAGAUUAUUGCAAUUAUUAAUCUUGAACGAGGAAUGCCUAGUAAGCAUGAUUCAUUAGAUUGUGCUGACUACGUCCCUGCCCUUUGUACACACCGCCCGUCGCUCCUACCGAUUGAAAGAUAUGAUGAAUUGUUUGGACAAGAAGAAGGGGGAUUAUAUCUCCUUUUUUCUGGAAAAACCGUAAAUCCUAUCUUUUAAAGGAAGGAGAAGUCGUAACAAGGUUUCCGUAGGUGAACCUGCGGAAG
rnacentral:rRNA from 1 species